AAAAAGAAAUAACUAGAGGAGAAGCUUAUGGAACCCCCGAGGGCCAGAGUCACUGCGGAGCAGGCGAGAUGAUGCUCCGGACCCCGCCGCAGCGGAAGCGCCGCGCUGACGCCGACCUCGCCGUUGUUGAAUCCAUCGGCGGCGUGACUGGCCGGAGCCCUAUCUCCGACCGCCGCCUGGUGCUCUACGACCGCCCCAACGCCCUCGUAGCCGCCGGCGCCCCCGGGGAGCCGUCCGACGACAUGGUCUGUACAUACCACUGCCGCCAGAUGGUGAAAUCGGAGUUCAUGGUGGCACUGAACACUGCAGAGAAGCAAGUUCAGGAGUAUCAAACAAAACUUGGUGCAUUGGAGGAGCAAUUAUCCAAGAGUGAGGAUGAAAGGAUGCAGUUCCAGGAUAAACUGAACUAUGUCGAGCAAGAACUGGCAGCAACAAAAGGGCGGGAGGGUGCAUUACAGGAACGAUUACUAAAGGAGUUGGGUGACUAUCAGGAGUGGUACCGUGAGCAAGUAAGAAAAAUAAAUGAACUUGAGGCACAACUCAAUAAAGAGACCAAUUCUAGAAUCAGUGCUGAAUCAUCAGCAUCAUCUGCAAAGGAAUCGAUCAAAGACUUGGAAGGAAAUUUGCAGCGAUUAUCAGAAAGUUCAGAUAGGGAGAAGAAAACCCUUAAUAGGGAAUUUUCAUAUUUGAAAGAUGACCUAACCUCAUCUGUUUCCAAACUUAACGCUGAGCUUGAGAGAAUGAAACUCAGGGCAGAAAACUCUGAGAGUGAAGCAAAGUUAUUAAUCGAGCAGUUGGUGGACUUGAAAAAGCAACUUGACAAGUGUCUUCACGAAAAGAAUGAUAUGGAGCACAAGCUAUUGAAUUCCAGUGCUUUGUCUCAUCAACAUGCUCCAACAGAUGACCAGAAGUUGAUCAAGCUUUUGCAAGAGGAGCUCCGGAAUUAUGAAAAGGAAGUGCAUGAAGCUAGAAGGUUGAAAUCUUCCCACACAAAUGUUGAGUUGCUGAAAGAAAAACUAUUGGAGGAGCAGGGGCGCAGAGAAAGAGCAGAGAUGGAAUUAUCAAAGCUGCAGGAUAUUGAAGCCAAAGCACAUAAGUUGGAGCUUGAAUUAGCAUCAUGUACAGCGCUGCUCAGCAACAUACCUGAUGUGUCUUCUUAUGGCGACAUACCUCAAAAGUUUGCAGAUUUGCAAAAGCAAGCAUUGACAAAUUUGAACAAAGUUGGUGAAGUAACAUCACGGCUGAAAGAAUUAGAGGUUGCACUGGAAUUUGCUGAUCUUGGCAAGCAAUGUGCGGAAGGUGAAGCUACCCUUGCUAAAGAGAGGGCUGAAAGUGCUACCAGAGAGGUCAAGCGGCUUGAACUUAUGCUUGCUGCAAUCAGUGAAGAAAGAGAUAGACUGAGAAAGGACCAUGAUAUGCUCCCUAAACAAAAAUCUGGUGAUGGGGAUGAUACACCAUUCAAGAAUAUGGAGUCAGAUCUAUCUGGAAUGGAGAAAAUAAUAAGAGAGCUGGAGGGCACUAUACACGAGCAGAAAGAACUGAUUAGUCACCAGCAUGCCGAACUCAAUAUAAUGAAUGAAAGAUUAAGCCUUGAAGCAAGGAAAGUGAAGUCUUUAGAGCGAGAGGGAGACCAAAUGCGCUCUCAGGUGGCCUUACUAGAGUCAAAGUUAGGCCAUGGAGAUUACUCUACCUCAAGCACAAAAGUACUGCAUAUGGUAAAUACUCUUGCAGUGGACAGUGAAGCAAAGCAGACAAUAGAAGCACUACAGGCUGAACUAAAGAAAACAAAAGAGAGGCUGCAAGCAGUUGAAGAACUGAAAGGACAAGCUGAUGCUGGAACUGUGGUAGACGCGAAUAUUGCUGAAAAGCUAGCACAACUUAAAAAUCAAAUUGCCACACUUGAGAAACGUGAAGAAAGAUAUAAGACAGUGUUUGCAGAGAGGAUCUCGGUCUUCCGGAAGGCCUGCUGCUCACUUUUUGGUUACAAGAUAGUGAUGAAUGACCAGCAUCAAUCAAAUGGGAUCCCUGUAACACGCUUUAUUCUGCAAUCAGUUUAUGCCCAAAGUGACGAUGAAAAGCUUGAGUUUGACUAUGAAUCAGGAAGCACUAAUAUUGUGGUCAACGACUACACGUCUCAACAUGAAAUUGCUCAGCAGGUAUUAAGCUGAUCGAUUGCAUUUAACUUGCAGACAUCCGUGCAUUGUAGAGGUAGACCACAAGCUUAUGGUGAUUGAGAUCACAGGUUUCAAGUUCCCAAUCUCCACCUUAAAAUAAAUGAUAUGCCAGUCCUCUUGUUUGUGUAUGUCACUAAAUUGCAAGUCAAAAUAUGGCAUCUUCAAGGUUCCGAAAUUCUGAAACUUGAAUCAGGUCGAGGUUUUCAUAAGGAAGAUGCAUUCCAUCCCAGCCUUCACUGCUAACCUGACAAUGGAAUCCUUCAACAAGAGAAGUAUAUGUUGAAGACAUGAAUCGAGUGACAAGUUACAUUGCUGGAUAUUGUUUGUAUGUUUGAUGCUUCCUCCAUUGAUGAAAGUGUAUUCAAGCACUCACAGGGCUUUAUGUUUUACCUUGCAUGCUCUCACUUAUGAAGAGAAUUUCUGCUUUGUCAAAUUGUUAAAUGUAGUGGCACUAGAUCCAUGGUCGGACAAGCUUCUCCAAAAAGUUAUCACCCAAGGUUGUUCUGUACCUUCCAUAACAUUUUAAGUUACUUAGUUGCAUCAUAACUUUCAAUUGUAAACCCGUUUGAUGUUCUGUGAAAAUCGUGUGCAGCUGAGGCACCGGGGAUCGAUAAUUGAAGUUGAUGCUGGAAGCUUUUGGUUGUUUCUGACGUUGUGGUGAUAUCCCAUAUAUCCAGAUUUUUGUUGUGACAAAGCAUAUAUGAGCAUGGCUUGUACUGUACUGAUGAUAUAACAUUGAAGCUUUUGACUUCUCUCAA